GACGAACCAAGCAAACGUUGUUCGGAUUCACUGGGCUUAAAGGGCGCGUAGGCGGUCUCUCAAGUCCGGGGUGAAAUCUUUCGGCUCAACCGGUAAAUUGCCUUGGAUACUGUGAGGCUCGAGGGAGGUAGGGGUCACGGGAACAUCUAGUGGAGCGGUGAAAUGCGUUGAUAUUGGAUGGAACGCCGGUGGCGAAAGCGCGUGACUGGACCUUUUCUGACGCUGAGUGCGCGAAAGCCAGGGUAGCGAACGGG
rnacentral:rRNA from 1 species